rnacentral:rRNA from 1 species
UACGUAGGGUGCAAGCGUUGUCCGGAAUUAUUGGGCGUAAAGGGUGCGUAGGCGGGCAGGUAAGUCAGUGGUGAAAUCUUCGAGCUUAACUCGGAAACUGCCUUUGAUACUAUCUGUCUUGAAUAUUGUGGAGGUAAGCGGAAUAUGUCAUGUAGCGGUGAAAUGCUUAGAUAUGACAUAGAACACCUAUUGCGAAGGCAGCUUACUACGCAUAUAUUGACGCUGAGGCACGAAAGCGUGGGGAUCAAACAGG